rnacentral:rRNA from 1 species
CCUACGGGUGGCUGCAGUGAGGAAUAUUGGUCAAUGGUCGGGAGCCUGAACCAGCCAAGCCGCGUGAGGGAUGAAGGUCCAGAGUAUCGUAAACCUCUUUUGUCAGGGAACAAAGUCGGGGACGCGUCCCCGGAUGAGUGUACCUGAAGAACAAGCAUCGGCUAACUCCGUGCCAGCGGCCGCGGUAAUACGGAGGAUGCGGGCGUUAUCCGGAUUUGUUGGGGUUAAAGGGUGCGCAGGCGGUCUGUUAAGUCAGGGGUAAAGCCCCGGGGCUCACCCCCGGCCCGCCGUUGAAACUGGCAGUCUCGAGUUGGAGAGAAGUAGGCGGAAUGCGCGGUGUAGCGGUGAAAUGCAUAGAUAUCGCGCAGAACUCCGAUUGCGAAGGCAGCAUGCUGGCUCCAAACUGACGCUGAGGCACGAAAGCGUGGGUAUCGAACAGGAUUAGAUACCCCAGUAGUC